AUCAUUUCACUCCACUGACUAUGAACGUGACUCAUUGACUCUCUCUCCUUCUUCUUCAAUUUUUUCUUUUCUGAAUCACAGUUUCCACGGUAGCCAUAUAUCUAACCUUUAGCACCACUUUACUUCAAAGUCUCAUUCACCACUUUGCUCUUCUCCUUUCGUACCUUUCAACCUCUUUUAUUGUUCACCUACCAAACGCCUCUGUAAGUUCCAACUCCAAGCAAGGAGGAAAUCGAAAACCCCAAAUCAAAAAAAAAAAGGAAGCUAGGGUUCUACUCUGUUGAUAUGCUUUGUGACCGUUGGAAUGAGUGUUUUUCUUUUCAAAAGUUCAAACUUGAAAUCCCGAAUCCUCGAAUAGCCGACUGGCAAGGUAUGUGAUCUAUUGGUCCUACUUUCUUGUUUUUAAAUUUUUUAGUGAGACCAAUUUGCAUUUGGGUACUACUCAGAGAUAAAUUUUUUAUUAUAUUUUAUAUAUUAAAUGUGGGAAGCAAGAAUAUUAGUUGUAACUGUUAGUUUGGGCUCAAGCUCUGAAGCUAAUGGCAGAAAACCAUAUGAACAGGGGCGGAGCUACAGUUAGAAUCCACAUACUCAAAAUUAUAGCUCCGCCUCUGAGUAAAACAAUAACAACAACCCAGUAUAAUCCUACUUAGUGGGGUCUGGGGAGGGUAGUAUGUACGCAGACCUUNNNNNNNNNNNNNNNNNNNNNNNNNNNNNNNNNNNNNNNNNNNNNNNNNNNNNNNNNNNNNNNNNNNNNNNNNNNNNNNNNNNNNNNNNNNNNNNNNNNNNNNNNNNNNCCGGCAUCCUUCCCUCCAAAAACUUCCCACCUUGCUCUUGGGAGACUCGAACUCACAACCUCUCGGUUGGAAGUGGGAGUUGCUUACCAUCAGAGCAAUAAUGUGGGUUGUAGAUAUUAUUUGGACUUACUAGUAGCUUCCACAUUUUUUAAACAUCACCUUUCCCAAGCAUUAAUACAACAAUAACAACCCAGUAUAGUCCCACAAAGUGGAGUCUGAAAAGGGUAAUAUGUAGACGGGCCUUACCCCUACCCUAAAGGGCACGGAGGCUGUUUCCAAUCAACCAUAGGCUCAGUGAAGGAAAGGAAAAAUAAAAACAAAAACAAAAGAGCAUUAGUAACUCCAGCAUAAAUAACGUAAAUAAUUAUCUAAACAUAAGAACCAUAAAUACCAUAAAUAAAAUAGCAUGCAAUAAUAUCAGACAGUAACUACCAUAAAUAACUACCAUAAGGGAGACACAAUAUAAAAUAGCAUGCAGUAAUAUCAGACAGUAACUACCAUAAAUAAAUAUCAUAAGGGAGACACAAUCCAAUGCACAAAUCAUCUCCCAAGCAUUACUUAUUAGCAAAUUAUCCCUCCAUAUUUACUUGUCCUAAAAUUUUAAUUCUUCAUUAAUUAUUCCUAAGUUGUAACUAAGGUCAAGAGAAUUAAUAUGUUACUUAACCUGAAAAACAAAAGAUAAUACUUAUGAGACUUCCGCUGCAAAACGACCCUUCAAAAUAGGCUAAAAUAUUUAAAGAGAUUUUAUGCAAAUGGUUUAACAUAUCAUGAUUUUAUGCUUUAGAUGAGAAGUUUUAUUUUGUGUCUCAUGCAACUUACAGUAGUUGUAUGAGGUUCCUUUCUGUCUCAUAAAUUUGUAGACCCCAAUCUUAGACUUCUGGAUCCUCAGAAAUAUGGAUCCACAAAAUUGUGAGACAAAAAAGUUGUCUCAUACAAUUAGUAUUAGUUGUAUCAGACACAAAUUAAAAAUUUUUGCUUUAGAUAUAGAGUGCGCGACCAUAGAUACUAUAAUUUUCGGCAUUUUUUAAUAUCAUGUAAAAUUUACCAGUAGAAGUAGAGUGCAAUAACAUACGUUUUUUUAGAUGACUUGGCAAAACUUUCUAGAUAUUUUUAUUGUUUAAAGGGUAAUGAAUUACAAAAAAAUGGCUAGAGUAUAGAUCCAUCAACUAUUCUACAACAAUGUAAAAGAAAUCAAACAAAGCAAAGAAAAUAUAAAUCACAAGGGUUGAAAGAUAUACCAAGUUGGGAUUCAAGAAUCAUGUCUAUAGAAGAUUAAAUAUUCAAAAAGAUAAUCUAAAUUGUAUGAAAGAAAACAUAUUCAAUACAUUAUAGUUUGCUGCAUAUAAUCACUAGAAUACUUUGUGUCUUGCUAAUAGAGAUACUUGAAAUAAUUUAGUUCACGUAGAAGUAGCAUAAUAGGUUUUAGGAAUUAGUAUUUUGAGUUUAAUUACUUGUUGGCUUGUAAUAGUUUUUAUAAUUCCAAGGCCCAAAGAAUAUUAAUGCAUUAUUAUUUUUAGACUUACUAAAUAAAUAUAUUUUCCACAUGUAAAAUUUAUUCGGUACGGUUCGGUUCUACCCUAAUUAUCGAUGCGGUUAUAGAUCUAUAUAAAAAUCUAUGGUUUCUUAAAAAGGAAACCUAAUAAUAAUCGGUUCGGUGUGGUACGUUUCGAUCGGUUUUUGAAUAUCCAUUGACACCCCUAGAAGACGCCCCUUCGUAUCAAGGCAUCGAUAUUUUUUUUUUUUUUGAUAAGUCUUUUUUUUAAAACCCCUCCCAAAUUAGGAGGAUCUAUAGUGCUUCCAUACUUCUCUUCCCUGGUGACUCGAACCCAGGACCUAACAGUCGUAGGUGGAGGUGCUUUUUUUUUCCAACUGAGCAAGCUUCACUUGUUCUUCCUCUUGGACAAAUAAUUAUAAAUGAAUAACAUAACUAUUUAGAAAAGACACAAUAUAAAUCAAUAUCAUUUAGUAUUUAUUUAUUUAUUGUUGUCGAAUAUUAAUAUAAAUUAUUAAAAAGUUAUUUAGUUAUUUAACUUUUUAGUUUUGGGCUUCCCACUUUUAUAUAUAUAUAUAUAUAUAUAAGUUUAGUUUGAGUUCAAUGUAAUAAACAUAGGCCGACCCCUGAUGGUAGAACAGGCAAUUCUAUUCUGGUUUGGAUUAUGUUUCCCUAACACAUUUAGGUUUUGGUUAUAUAGUUGCCCCUUUUGUAAUACGAAUCCUAUAUAUACAUAACUCGGUCCAUGAGAAUUCAUUAUGAUUUAAGGAUAUAGAGCGGAACUCCUAUUAUUUCCGUCAAUUCUUUCAGAUUAUUGGAAUCAAGAUACGUAUAUAUAUUGUCUGUUUUAUUCAUUGGCAAGAUGAUCAUCCCAGUUCGGUGCUUCACUUGCGGUAAGGUAAUCGGAAAUAAAUGGGACCAAUAUCUUGAUCUUGUCCUAGCAAGUUACGAUAAAAAAGAUGGACAAACUGCAGAAGCAGAAGCACUUGAUGCAUUGGGGUUGGUUCGAUAUUGCUGUCGAAGAAUGUUGAUGACACAUGUAGACCUCAUUGAGAAGCUUCUUAACUACAACACAUUGGGAAAAUCUGAGGGCAGUUGAAAGGAUUCUACCGACUCAGACGCAUAUUCAGAAUUUCACGUUUAUGAUUUUUAUAACGGUAUUAAAUUAAUAUUCAAUGAUAAUUUAGUUUACAGUCAAAUAUUCAAUAGGAGUAUUGUUUAGUCGAGUGCUUAAUUCAUAUACUAGAUUUGGACAAAUAUUUUACUGGAAAAAUAGGUAUAUUAUUAUUCACAUAAAUAAUAAAUAUAUUCUCGCAUUAAUAUUUAAUGCCGCCAACUAAAGCUGCAUUGUUUAUAUGUCGAUUAUUUUUUUUUCUGAUGCACAGUUAACCAAACACCAUAGUAUUUUAUUAGAGCAGUCUAUAUAGCCCUGCCCAGCCCGUGAUUUAGCAGGGCCGGGCUAAAAUAUUUGGAAUCCGUUUGAAAAUAAGGCUUUUAAGCCCGGUCCGAGUAAGCCCGUGGCCCGUAAGGCUUGAUUGGGACGGGGCCGACCCGGCCCGUGAGUCUAAUAAAAUAUUUAUUUAAAAUAUAUAAAAAAUAAAAAGUAUACUACCUUUAGACAUGGAAAGUUAGAAUUGGAUUUUUACUAAGAGGUACCAAAACGUGAUCUUGAAAAGUUUCAAGAGAUGGAUGUUAUCAUGUAUUGGAAGUACCAUCCUAGAAAAUAUCCAGAUCUUUCAAUGAUGGUGCGUGAUGUACUUAGUAUUCUUAUUAUCAUUAUUGCAUUGGAAUCAACAUUUAGCAUUAGUGGCGUGUUCUUACAAAGUACAAAAGUUAUAUUUAUUAUGAAAAUGUCCAAACGCUUGUUACUACUCGAAAUUGGCUGCACAUGUUUUCCCAAACUCAAACUGGUAAUAUUUUUUAAUGUAAAUUUAAAUAUUAUUAAUUUUUAAAAUAUAAUUAUUUUUAAUAUUUUAUUAAAUAAUAUUGCAUAUGAAUUGUAGAUGAAAGUGAACAUGUCAAGACAACCUUGUCAUAAGCGGAUUCAAAUGUGUUUGAUGAAGAUAAUGUGUUGGAUAUGUCAUAAGAAUCAUGAACGUUCGCUUGAAUAGCUUGUUUUAAAAUUUGACUUUUAGUGAAUGAAAUAUAGUCUUGUCUUUAUUUUUUUUUAGUAUUUAUUGUGAUAUAUUAGAACAAUAUAAAAAGUUAUUAAGUUUUGCGAAUUAUUUCCAACAAGAUACUUUUAACAUAUAAAUAAUUAUUUUUUUUAGAUUAGAACUUAAAGAAAAAAUAUAAAAUAUAAAAAUAUAUUUUAAAAAAUGAUGGGCCGGCCCGUGGGGCCCGAGGCCUACAUAGGGCUGGGGUGGGCUGACCAUUAUAAGGCCCACCAAAAUGGUGUGCUAGCCCAGUCCUGCCCAUCCCGUCAAUUGUAAAGCCCGCGUGAAUCGAACUGGGCUAGCCCGACCCGACCCGUAUUGACAACUCUAUAUUUUAUGCGCGAUUUAAAAUUAAUAACAUAAAAUUAGCUAGUGAUAUUAAUGAGUACAAAAGUUUGUGAAGAGGUAGCUCUUUAAUUUCUUGCUAAAGUUAGAGAGCGCUUUUCCAAAAUAUAUUCUUUUAAUAGGGGUGUUAAAAUCGAGCCGGAAAAUUGCACCAAAUCGAAAAAUCAAACCAAACCGAUUAAAAAAUCUGACUAGGUUUAGUUUGACUUGGUUUGGUAUUGAAUAAAAAAUCCGAACCAAACCGACAUAUAAAUAUAUAAAUUUUAUUUAUAUUUUUAAGACUUUAUUGUGAAUUUUCUUUUGAAAAUGUAGAAAUAUUUGGGAUCCUCUCAUGUAUUAACCUUGAACGCGUAAAUUAACGAAAAAUUAUCAUUAGAUGACUAAGAAAAUAACUAUCAUGUGUUAUUAAAAAAAUGCUCCCAUUAGAAUAUUUUAAUAGAUCACAUGUUUGUCAAUUUUUUUCCAUAUUUACGAAAUAUAUAUUUACUUAUCAAAGCUUUUUCAACAAUUUUAACAAAAUAAGAUUGCAAUAAUAUUUAUGUAACGACCCAACCGGUCAUUUUGAGUUCCAGCGCGUCAUUCUGCAGUUGAGGCCAUGAGAAACUUCAUCUCAGGUAUAUCUUCUUGUGUGUAUGGUCAGAAUAAAAUUCAGGAAGUUUGGAGUCAAACCUAAAUGGCAAUAUUCAUUUUGAAAGCUUAAAGUUGAAGAAAUGAACUAGGAUUGGAAUUUUGAGUAAAUGACCUCGGAAUCUGGAUUCGAAGGUUCCAGCGGGUUCGUAUGAUGAUUUUGACUUGGGCGUAUGCCCGGAUUGGGUUUUGGAUAACUCGGGAGCGUUUUGGUGACUAUUGUGGAAGAUAUCAUUUUAGAAGAAAUGCCAUCAGUUUGGCGUAAAAUGCGUUUCAAUGUUAUUAAUGUUCGUUUGGGAUUUUGAGACUGGGAGUAGAUCUGUAUGGUGAUUCUGGAUUUGAGAGCGCGAUCGGAAGUGAAUUCGGAGGUACGUAGGUUAUUUUGAACUCAUUUGGCUAAAUAUAGAAAUUUGAAGGUUUUUGAGAAAAUUCGACCAAAAGUGAAAAUUUUGAUAUCGGGGUCGGAAUGCGAUACCGAAAGUUGGGGUAAGUGUGUAAUGUCGAAUGUGACUUGUGUAAAAAAUUUGAAGUCAUUCCGGAAUGAUUUUGGUAAGGUUUGAGAUACUUAGUUUCGUUUAAGGAAGCUUAUGUUGGAAAAGUCAACCGGAUAUUAACUUAUAUGUUAGAGGGCUCGAAAUGUGAAUUUUAUGGUUCGGAGAGCUUCGUUAGGUGACUUGGGACUUAGGAGUGUGUCCGGAAUAUUUUUGUGAUGACCAAUGUAUAAUUAAGCUUGAAUUGGCAAAGUUUAUAUUUUGCGAAUUCCGGUUGAUUGGUAAGAUUUUUAUCCGAGGGUCGGAAUUGAAUUUCGAGAGUUGCUCUAGCUUCGUUAUAUCAUUUUGGACUUGUCUGCAAAAUUUGAGGUCAUUCGGACUAGUUUUGAAAUGUUUCGGCAUCGGAUGUGAAAUUUAAAAGAAUUCUUGGAUUUAAGGCUCAAAUCAUUGAUUUUGAUAUUAUUUUGUCGAUAUGAUCGCUCGAGCAAGUUCGUGUGAUGUUUUAGAGUCAGUGUGCAUAUUUGGUUUGGAGCCCCGUGGGCUCGGGAGAGUUUCAGAGGUGUCUCGGAGUAUUUCGGACUUAGUGUGCAUAUACUUGAAGUUUCGAAAAUAUUUUGCCACUUUUGGCAAUUUGGAGCUCGGGUGAGGCGAUUUUUCGGGUGUUUUCAAGGAAAUCACCGGGGUAAGUGUUCUUAUCUUAAUUUUGGUUAUAUUACUCGAAUCUAUUGCAAGUUUUGGCAUUAAAUCCGUGAAUUUAGCGGGAAAAGCUUAGAAACCCUCUGCAAUAGAUUUAAGGAUUUGAGGGUCAAAAUAUUAUCGAUAUUUAGUAAUUUUAGUUUGGUUGAACUCGUAUCGGAAUGGGUGUUCGGAUUUUGCAAGUUUUUACUGGAUUCAAAUUUUGGGUCCCACUAUUGCAUAUAUUAAAAUAAAUUUCGGAUUCUAUCCGGAAAAUUAGUAAAUUUAUUAUCCAAUUUAUUCCUACGAUCCGUGUUGAGUAUUUCGAAUUGUUUGUGAAUAGAUUUGAAGCAUCUGGAGACAAAUUUAAAAGGAAAAGCAGUGCUUAAGGAUUGAGUUGGCCUUAAACCUUCGAGGUAAGUGUUUCAUCUAUCCUAGCUUAAGGGAAUAUGAGUUGACUCUAUAUGCUAAUUGCUAUGUGUGGAGUCUGAUGUAUAGGCAUGGUGACGAGUAUCUAUACGUAGGGGGUCGUGCAUGAACGUAAGUCUUAAAUUGAUUAAAAUUUUUAUAAUCUUAUGUUGUUAUACGAAAGGAAUUAUUAUUAUUGGUUUCAUACCGGUAAUAUUUAUAUUGUUGAUUUAAAUGAUUAUUGGUUUCAUACCGAUAAUAUUUAUAUUGUUGAAAUAAAAGAUUAUUGGUUUCAUACCGGUAAUAUUUAUAUUGUGGAAAUAAAAGAUUAUUGUUCUCAUACCGGUAAUAUUUAUAUUGUUGAAAUAAAAGAUUAUUGGUUUCAUACCGAUAAUAUAUAUAUAUAUAUAUAUAUAUAUAUAUAUAUAUAGUUAAUUAAUUACUAUUGGUUUUUUGCCCGUAAUAUAUACAAUGAUUAUUGUUAUUGGCCAUAGUUGCCAGUGACAAAGAAGAGUGAUUAUGCACGAUGGGUCUUUCCGUGCCUUGAGAUAUAUAUUACAAUCAUUAUUGUUAUUGGCUAUAGUUGCCGGUGACAAGGAAGAGUUAUUAUGCACGAUGGGUCUUUCCGUGUCUCGAUAUGAGAGUGUGCGAGUAAAAGUACGAUGGUGAUACCGUACAUCUUAAUUGAUUAUUUGGUUAGAACGAGAGUAAAAGUACGAUGGGUAAUACCGUACAUCUUAAUUGAUUAUUUGGUGAGAACAAGAGUAUAAGCACGAUGGUUAGUGCUGUGCAGAUUUUGAUUUACCCGUUCUCAUUAAUUGAAGUUCAUUUAGUCUGCAUCUGUUAAUACAUUUUGUUACUACCCCAGAGCAUGUUUUCCCCUCCCAAAUAUUAAAUGUUGUUUCCUGUGGUUUUGUUGUACAUAUAUAUUUUGAACUGUACAUGUUUAUUUGAGUGUCUGGUCUAGCCUUGUCACUACUUCGUCGGGAUAGGCCGGGCACUUACCAGCACAUAGGGUCGGUUGUGCUGAUGCUACACUCUGCGCUCUUUUUGCGCAGAUACAGGUUUUGGACAGCAGCAGCAGCAGUAGUGCGGGUGUUAGCUUUUGAUCAUCGAGACACCGAGGUAGCCUUGCAGGCGUCCGCAGGACCCAGUGUCUCCUCUAUCUUUAUUUUCAGUCUGUUAUCUCAUAUAUUCUAGAAAACAACAUUUUAUUUCUUUCAGAUGGUUGUGUGUAUUAUUCUUAGAAGUUCAUGAGUGCUCUGAUACCAACUUGUCACAACCUGAAUUUUCCAUCAUCGGGAGUCGUGAUGGCACCUACUAGUAGGAGCUAGGCAAGCCAACUCUUACUUAUGUUUCCAUUUUUAACAUUGUUUCCCUGUUUUCUGAGGAAGUCUAUGUUAGUGUGCGAGUUGAGUAUUUCCUCCUAGAGUUCACCUUCCUUUUGUAUCGCGUUCAAAUUGAUAGCAUACUGGCACAUUUUGGCAUCUUGUGGGAUUUUUGAUUAUGUCUAAGAUGGCUUAUUGCCUGAGCAGUUCGUACAGGGUGAGACGAGAUUACUAGAUUUGGGGUUAGUGCAAACUGAUUAUAUGAACUAUAUUAUAGAGCAAAGAUCAUUCUUUGGUUUGGAACAAGGUAAUGGAACUCGUCAAGAGUAUGGAUCCAAUGAAAUGUUGAUUCAGCAAUGUGACGACCCGACCCGUCGUCUUAUGUGUUACUGCUCCGUUUCCUCCUUAUUGUGUUACUUCGUGUUUCAAUAUCAAUAUUAGAGUUGAUCGGGCGUAAUUGAAUUGGUUUUGGUUGAAAAUAAGGCAUUUUCCCUCUUUGAAGGAAUUUUGUUUUGGAGAAGUCAACCAGAAGUUGACUUGUGAGUUAGAAGGCUCGGAUGUGAUUCUAGAUGAUUCGGUUAGAUUUGGGAGGUGAUUCGCCUCUUAGAAGGAAGCUUGUUUUGGAGAAGUCAACCGGAAGUUGACUGUGAGUUAGAAGGCUCGCAUAUAAUUUUCGAUGAUUCGCUUAGCUUAGGGAGGUGAUUUGUGACUUAGGAGAGCGAUCAGAAUUGAAUUUGGAGGUUCAGUGUAGAAUUAGGCUUGAAUUGGUGAAGUUUGAAUUUUGGUGAAUUCCGGUUGAUAGGUGAGAUUUUGAUUCGAGGGUCCAAAUGGAAUUCCGGGAGUUGCAUUAGCUUCGUUAGGUGAUUUUGGAUAUGUUUGCAAAUUUUCAGGUCAUUCGGACGUCGUUCGGUUGAGUUUUCGAUCGAACAUGAGCUUCAGAAGUUCUAAGAAAAAUUUAAGCUUGAAUCCGUCGUGAUUUGAUGAUUUUUGUGUUAAAGGACGUGUUUUUAUGAUUGGAACAAGUUUGUAUGAUAUUUCGGGGUAAUGUUGGUGCUUUUUGUUGAGGUUCCGGGGGCCUCGGGGUGAUUACGGAUGGCUAACGGAAUGAUUUUAGUUUGGAAUAGCUGCAGAAAAUUGUAACAGCAGUGCAGACCAAUUUUUGGUCAUUGCGAUCGCGGAAACGUGGAUGCAAUCGCGUAGUAGCGGGUUGUUGUUCUCUUCGAUCGCGGAAGGCGAGUCGCGUUCGCGUAGAAGGUUUGGGGAAUCUUGGAAAUUUGUUCAACGCGAUUGCGGUCAGGGGCAUGCUAUCACAUAGGUUGAGAAUGCUGUUCUCUGCGAUCGCAGAGGGAAGUGUGCGAUCGCGUAAGAGGAUUUUGAGAGGCUAUGAGUUUGUUCUCUGCGAUCGCAAGCCAAUGUUGCGAUCGCAUAGAGGAAGAUCGGUUAUUUCAUCCGCGACUUGGUUCAUAUUUCCUCCAGUUUUGCACCACCUUGAGAGCUUGUUGACGGAUUUUGAAGAGGAUUUCGACGAGAAGUGAUUGGAGGUAAGUCUCGUAGCCUUAAUGCGUCAUUUUAUUGAAGAAUCAACCAUUAACUCUCUGAAAUUGGGUGUAAAUGUUGAUGAACUAAGGCUUGAUAUUUCAAAUGAAAAUUUGGGGAUUUGGAGGAGCAAUUGGACUCCGAUUUUGAUGACGUUUAUAUGUACGGACUCGUGGCGAGACGAGAAUUCCGAAAAUGUAAGUUUUAUAAUUUUUUCGAGAAGCGGACUCGGGGCUCGGGUUUUGCUAGUUUCGAGAUUCUUGCUAUUUCUCGAUUGUUUUCAAUUGGGUAUUGUCCCAUUUGCAUAUUAUGAUGUAUUCGCUCUAUUUUUGGCUAGAUUCGACGCGUGUGGAGGCCGAUUUGAGGGACAAAGGCAUCGCGAGCUUGAGAUUUCGCUGGUUCGAGUUGAGUAAUACUUGGGAAUGAUAUCCUGAGGGUUUGAAACCCCGAAUUUGCACAUCUUAGUGCUNNNNNNNNNNNNNNNNNNNNNNNNNNNNNNNNNNNNNNNNNNNNNNNNNNNNNNNNNNNNNNNNNNNNNNNNNNNNNNNNNNNNNNNNNNNNNNNNNNNNNNNNNNNNNNNNNNNNNNNNNNNNNNNNNNNNNNNNNNNNNNNNNNNNNNNNNNNNNNNNNNNNNNNNNNNNNNNNNNNNNNNNNNNNNNNNNNNNNNNNNNNNNNNNNNNNNNNNNNNNNNNNNNNGAACUCUUUGUGAGCUAUCAUCAUUGUUUUCCUCACUAUUUGAAAUACUAUUUGAACUCAGUCCGUGUGAUUUACAUUGUUUUAUGAACUCAGCUAUAAUUUACUCAAACUUGGAGUUUUAAAUGAUAUUUGAACCAUCAUUUGAGCUGAGCAUAUUUAUUUUAGGAAUGCCCGAGGGGCUUUUGACUAGUUUAGACUGAUUGAGGCUGAGGGCCAUAUGUGAGGGCAUGAAUAUGAUGUAAGGAGGCUUGCAAGUCUCCUUACAAGCCUUGUUGAUGGCGCAGGGAACUUUGAAUAUCUUUCGUGGUAUGAAUGGAUACUUGAUGUGUGUUAUGUAUUCGUAUGGCGGAAUGUGGGAUCAGGCAGAGUGAUUCAUGUGUUAAAUGUGUUGGGGACUAGAGUUCUCGUUAUCCGACCAUGCAGUGGUUAUGGGUCGUGUGUAUCGACAUCGUCUACAGUUGUUGGAAACUGGAGGUCCGAGUGGUGUUAAAUGUGUUGCAGACUAAAAGUUCUCAUGAUCCGACCAUGCGGUAGUUGUGGGUCGUGUGUAUCGACAUCGUCUAGCAGUUGUUGAAAACUGGAGGUUCGAGUGGAUCUUUCCUUGCUUGGUAUGUUAAAUUUGGGUUAGGAUAUUUUAUAGUAGAUUGGUCGUUCCAGGGUCAGAUUUUCUAGACUAAUGUAUUAUGGGCUAUGUCAGAAAAUGCCACAGACUGCGUGGCAAGGUGCAUCGAAUUAUUGUUCUAGCAGUGUAGUUGUAUUCCAAGGACCUGUCGUCUUAUGUGUUACUGCUCCGUUUCCUCCUUAUUUUGUUGCUUCAUGUUUCAAUAUCAAUAUUAGAGUUGAUCAGGCGUAAUUGAAUUGGUAUUGGUUGAAAAUAAGGCAUUUGGCCUUUUAGAAGGAAGCUUGUUUUGGAGAAGUCAACCGGAAGUUGACUUGUGAGUUAGAAGGCUCGGAUUUGAUUUUCGAUGAUUCGGUUAGCUUUGGGAGGUGAUUUGUGAGUUAGGAGAGCGAUCGGAAUUGAAUUUGGAGGUCCGGUGUAGAAUUAGGCUUGAAUUGACGAAGUUUAAAUUUUGGCGGAUUCCGGUUGAUAGGUGAGAUUUUGAUUAGAGGGUCGGAAUGAAAUUCCGGGAGUUGCAGUAGCUUUGUUAGGUGAUUUUGGAUUUGUCUACAAAUUAUUAGGUCAUUCAGACGUCGUUUGGUAGGGUUUUUGAUCGAAUAUGAGUUUCGGAAGUUCUAAGAAACAUUUAAGCUUGAAUCCAUCGUGAUUUGAUGAUUUUUGUGUUAAAUGACGUGUUUUUAUGAUUGGAACAAGUUCGGAUAAUGUUUCGGGGUAAUGUUGGUGCUUUUGGUUGAGUUCCGGGGGGCCUCGGGGUGAUUUUGGAUGGCUAACGGAAAGAUGUUAGUUUUGAAUAGCUGCAAAAAAUUGCAGCAGCAGCGCAGACCGAUUUUUGGUCAUCGCGGAAACAUGGAUGCGAUCGCAUAGUAGCGGGCCGUUGUUCUCUGCGAUCGUGGAAGGCGAGUCGCGUUCGCGUAGAAGGUUUGGGGAAUCUUGGAAAUUUUUUCGACGCAAUCGCAGUCAAGGGCAUGGGAUCGCAUAGGUUGAGGAAUGUUGUUCUCUGUGAUCGCAGAGGGAAGUGUGCGAUCGCGUAAGAGGGUUUUGAGAGGCUCUGAGUUUGUUCUCUGCGAUCGCAAGCCAAAGCUGCGAUCGCAUAGAGGAAGAUCGCUGGGCAGAGGGUUUUAAGUUAAACAUUUCAUCCGCGACAUGGUUCGUCUUUCCUCCAUUUCUGCACCACCUUGAGAGCUUGUUUACGGAUGUUGAAGGGGAUUUCGACGAGAAAUGAUUGGAGGUAAGUCUUGUGGCCUUAAUACGUCAUUUUAUUGAAGAAUAAACCAUUAAUUCUCUGAAAUUGGGUGUAAAAGUUGAUGAACUAGGGCUUGAAAUUUCAAAUAAAAAUUGGGGAUUUGGAGGAGCAAUUGGACUCUGAUUNNNNNNNNNNNNNNNNNNNNNNNNNNNNNNNNNNNNNNNNNNNNNNNNNNNNNNNNNNNNNNNNNNNNNNNNNNNNNNNNNNNNNNNNNNNNNNNNNNNNNNNNNNNNNNNNNNNNNNNNNNNNNNNNNNNNNNNNNNNNNNNNNNNNNNNNNNNNNNNNNNNNNNNNNNNNNNNNNNNNNNNNNNNNNNNNNNNNNNNNNNNNNNNNNNNNNNNNNNNNNNNNNNNNNNNNNNNNNNNNNNNNNNNNNNNNNNNNNNNNNNNNNNNNNNNNNNNNNNNNNNNNNNNNNNNNNNNNNNNNNNNNNNNNNNNNNNNNNNNNNNNNNNNNNNNNNNNNNNNNNNNNNNNNNNNNNNNNNUUUUGCAAACAAUUUGUUGUUAUCAUCAUAAAUUGGGCUCAUUGCCAUACUUGCGGCUUAUCGCCGAUUGUUUGAACUCUUUGUGAGCUAUCAUCACUGUUUUUCUCACUUUUUGAAAUACUAUUUGAACUCAUUCCGUGUGAUUUACACUGUUUAUAAACUCAGGUAUAUUUUACUCAAACUUGGAGUUUAAAACGAUAUUUGAACCAUCAUUUGAGCUGAGUAUAUUUGUAUUAGGAAUGCCCGAGGGGCUUUUGACUAUUUUAGACUGAUUGAGGCUGAGGGCCAUAUGUGAGGGCAUGAAUAUGAUGCCGCAGUAGCAUAUUGCAUGGAUCGGGUUGCAAGACCCGCAGCGGUAUGAUGUUGAUAUUGCGCUUAGGCUGUAGGAGCCCUUCCGGAGUUUGAACCCCCAUAGUGAGCGCGGGUACCCAAAUGGAUCGGGCUGCACAAUCCGCAGUGUUCAUGCAUUGCAUUGCAUUCAUGCAUUACUCCUGUUUGUACUACGUGGCACGACAUUUAGCACUCAUAUAUCAUUGGCAUACAUAAUGUUACUUGCCUUGCUGACUAGAUACCCUGGUGUUAUAUGUUGAGGAGUGCUAAGCCUGAGAGGGUGAUGAUGGAUAUUGUGAGUUUGGAGUGAGCCUGCGGGGCUGGUACUGUACUGAAAGGUUGAUAUUGAGCCAUAGGGGCAGUUUUUUGAAUAUUUCCUUCUUGUUGAAAUUACCUUUGCAACUGUUGAAAAAGCACAUUUUCAAAAGAGAUUUUUGAACUGAUCUUGAGAUUUUCUAAAGGGAUUUCCACAGUAUUUCAAUUUUUCUCAAAAAGGGUUGUUCUGUCUUUUAUGGUGUGCUUCUACAUGUUUUCUUAUCGCUCAGAUAUUAUUCUCUCUUAUUACCACUGAGUUGGAAGUACUCACNNNNNNNNNNNNNNNNNNNNNNNNNNNNNNNNNNNNNNNNNNNNNNNNNNNNNNNNNNNNNNNNNNNNNNNNNNNNNNNNNNNNNNNNNNNNNNNNNNNNNNNNNUCACGUUACUCCCUGCACCUUACGUGCAGUUACAGGUAUUGUUCACCCGAUAUCGGGUGAUUAGCAGGACCGAAGGCCAUAUUCUGGUAGUUGAGCAAGGUGACCGCCAGCGUUCGCGGCACCGCACUCUAUCUUUGUAUUCCGGUUUUUAUCUUGUAUAUAUAUACAUUGUUGGACCAGUAGUAGUGUCCCUACUCAUUAGAUACUCGUGACUUGUUACACCACGGUAGGAAUGUAUUGAUUUUUUAUAUUAAUUAAUGUCAUAAAUCUAGAUUCAAUAUGCUAUAUAACUGUUUAACUCCUUAAAGAGGAUUUUUGGGUUGUGGCUGGCCUUGUCUUCACGAGUGGCGCCAUCACGAAACAUAGUCUUUUCUUUUAUUUUUUUAGUAUUUAUUGUGAUAUAUUAGAAGAAUAUAAAAAGUUAUUAAGUUUUACAAAUUUUUUCCAACAAGAUACUUUUUAACUUAUAAAUAAUUUUUUUUAAGAUUAGAACUUAAAGAAAAAAUAUAAAAUAUAAAAAUAUAUUUUUAAAAAUGAUAGGCCGGCUAGUGGGGGCCCGAGGCCCACAUAGGGUUGGGGUGGCUAACCAUUAUAAGGCCCAUAGAAAUGGUGGGCUAGCCCUGCCCAGCCCAGCCCGUCAAUUGUUAAAGCCCACGUAGACUGGGCUAGGCUAGCCUGACCCGGCCCGUAUUGACAACUCUAUAUUUUAUGCGCGAUUUAAAAUUAAUAACAUAAUAUUAGCUAGUGAUAUUAAUGAGUACAAAUGUUUAUGAAGAGGUAGCUCUUUAAGUUCUUGCUAAAGUUAGAGAGCACUUUCCCAAAAUAUAUUCUUUUAAUAGGGGUGUUAAAACCGAACCAGGAAACCGCACCAAGCCGAAAAAUCAUACCAAAUCGAUUUAAAACCCCGACUAGGUUUGGUUUGACUUGGUUUGGUAUUGAGUAAAAAAAUUCGAACCAAACCGACAGAUAAAUAUAUAAAUUUUAUUUACAUUUUUAUGACUUUAUUGUGAAUUUUCUUUAGAAAAUGUAGAAAUAUUUGGGAUCCUCUCAUGUAUUAACCUUGAACGCGUAAAUUAACAAAAAAUUAUUGUUAGAUGACUAAGAAAAUAACUAUCAUGUAUUACUAAAAAAAUUCUCCCAUUAGAAUAUAUUAAUAGAUCAUAUGUUUGUCAAUUGUUAUCCAUAUUUACUAAAUAUAUUUUUACUUAUCAAAGUUUAUUCAAUGACAAAAUAAGAUUGAAAUAAUAUUUAUGUAACAACCCGAUCGGUCAUUUUGAGUUCCAGCGCGUCAUUCAUUAGUUGAGGCCAUGAGAAACUUCAUCUCGGGUAUAUCGACUUGUGUGUAUGGUUAGAAUUAAAAUUCAAGAAGUUUGGAGUCAAAUAUAAAUGGCAAUUUUCAUUUUGAAAGCUUAAAGUUGAAGAAAUGAACUAGGAUUUGAAUUUUGAGUAAAUGACAUCGGAAUCGGGAUCUGAAGGUUCCACCAGGUUCGUAUGAUGAUUUCAGCCUUGGGCGUAUGCCCGGAUCGGGUUUUGGAUGACCUGGGAGGAUUUUGGCGACUAUUGUGGAAGAUAGCAUUUUAGAAGAAACGACAUCAGUUUGGCUUAAAAUGCAAUUCAGUGUUAUUAAUGUCCGUUUGGGAUUCUGAGACUAGGAGUAGCUCCGUAUGGUGAUUAUGAAUUUUGGGAGCGCGAUCGGAAGUGAAUUCGGAGGUUCGUAGGUCAUUUUGAACUCAUUUGGCUAAAAAUAGAAAUUUGAAGGUUUUUUAGAAAAUUCGACCGGAAGUGGAAAUUUUGAUAUCAGGGUCGGAGAAAGUUGGGGCAAGACGGUAAUGUCGAAUGUGACUUGUGUACAAAACUUAAAGUCAUUCCGGAAUGAUUUUGGUAAGGUUUGAGGCACUUUGUUUCUUUUAAGGAAGCUUAAGUUGGAAAAGUCAACCGGAUAUUAUGUGUUAGAGUGCUCGAAAUGCGAAUUUUAUGGUUCGGAUAGCUUCUUUAGGUGAUUUGGGACUUAGUGUGUCCGGAAUAUUUUUGUGAUGACCGGUGUAUAAUUAAGCUUGAAUUGGCAAAGUUAGUAUUUUGGCGAAUUCCGGUUGAUAGGUGAGCUUUUGAUCCGAAGGUCGGAAUGGAAUUCCGAGAGUUGACCUAGCUUUUUUAUAUCAUUUUGGACUUGUCUGCAAAAUUUGAGGUCGUUCGGACUAGUUUUGACAUGUUUCGGCAUCGGAUGUAAAAUUUAAAAGAAUUCUUGGAUUUAAGGCUCAAAUCAUUGAUUUUGAUCUUAUUUUGGCGAUUUGAUCGCUCGAGCAAGUUCGUGUGAUGUUUUAGAGUCAAUGUGCAUAUUUGGUUUGGAUCCCCGAGGGCUCGGGAGUGUUUCGGAGGUGUCUCGGAGUAAUUCCGGACUUAAAAAAAUAUGCAGAAAUUGCAAAAAAAUUCUAUUGUGAACAGUACCCAUGAAGGGAUUCCGAACUUAGAAUAAUAUGCAGAAAUUGCAGAAACAUUCUGCUGUGAACAGUGCUGUGAACAGUACCCGGAAAAUUCUGGGUAGAAUAUACUUGAAGUUCCGAAAAUAUUUUGCUAUUUUUGGCAAUUUGGAGCUCGGGUGAGGUGAUUUUUCGGGUGUUUUUCAAGGAAGUCAUCGGGGUAUGUGUUCUUAACUUAAUUUUGGUUAUAUUACUCGAAUCUAUUGCAAGUUUUGGCAUUAAAUCCGUGAAUUUAGCGGGAAAAACUUAGAAACCCUUUUGAAUAGAUUUAAGGAUUUGAGGGUCACAAUAUUAUCGAAAUUUAGUAAUUUUGGUUUGGUUGAACUCGUAUCAGAGUGGGUGUUCAGAUUUUGCAAGUUUUUCCGGGAUUCGAAAUGUGGGUCCCACUAUUGAAUAUUAAAAUAAAUUUUGGAUUUUAUCCGAAAAAUUUGUAAUUUUUUUCCUAUAAUCCGUGUUGAGUAUUCCGUUGAUUGUGAAUAGAUUUGAAGCAUCUGGAGACAAAUUUAAAAGGAAAAGCGGUGCUUAAGGAUUGAGUUGGCAUUAAAUCUUCGAGGUAAGUGUUUGAUAUAUCCUAGCUUGAGGGAAUAAGAGUUGAGUCUAUAUGGUAAUUGCUAUGUGUGGAGUCCGACGUAUAGGCAUGGUGACGAGUAUCUAUACGUUAGGGGUCAAGCGUGACCGUGAGUCUUAGAUUGAUUAAAAUUUUUAUGAUCUUAUAUGGUUAUAUGAAAGGAAUUAUCAUUAUUUUUUUCAUACCGGUAAUUGAUUUAAAUGAUUAUUGGUUUCAUACCGGAAAUAUUUAUAUUGUUGAAAUGAAAGAUUAUUGGUUUCAUACCUGUAAUAUUUAUAUUGUGAAAACAAAAGAUUAUUGGCUUCGUACCGGUAAUAUUUAUAUUGUUGAAAUAAAAGAUUACUGGUUUCAUACAGGUAAUAUAUAUAUAUAUAUAUAUAUAUAUAUAUAUAUAUAUAUAUAUGAUUAAUUAUUUUUGAUUUUCUGUUGGUAAUAUAUACAAUUAUAUAUAUAUAUAUAUAUAUAUAUAUAUAUAUAUGAUUAAUUAUUAUUGAUUUUCUGUCGGUAAUAUAUACAAUGAUUAUUGUUAUUGCCCACAGUUGCCGGUGACAAAGAAGAGCGAUUAUGCACGAUGGGUCUUUCCGUGCCUUGGAUAUAUAUUUCGGUGCCUCGAUAUCAGAGUGUGAGAGUAAAAGUAUGAUGGGUGAUGCCGUACAUCUUAAUUAAUUAUUUGGUGAGAACGAGAGUCAAAGUACGAUGGGUGAUGCCGUACAUCUUAAUUGAUUAUUUGGUGAGAACGAGAUUAAAAGUACGAUUGGUGAUUCCGUACGUAUUAAUUGAUUAUUUGAUGAGAACGAGAGUAAAAGCACGAUGGUUGGUUCCGUGCCGAUUUUGAUUUACCCGUCCUUAUUAAUUGAAGUUCUUUUAUUCUGCAUCUGUUAUUAUAUUUUCUUACUACCCCAGAGCAUGUUUUCCCUUCCCAAAUAUUAAACGUUGUUUCCUGUGGUUUUGUUGUACAUAUAUAUUUCGAACUGUACAUGUUUAUGUGAGUGUCUGGUCCUAGUCUUGUCACUACUUCGUUGGGAUAGGCCGUGCACUUACCAGCACAUGAGGUCGGUUGUGCUGAUGCUACGCUCGGCGCUCUUUUUGAGCAGAUACAGGUUUUGAACAGCAGCAGCAGCAGUAGUGCGGGUAUUAGCUUAUCAUCGAGACACCGAGGUGGCCUUGCAGGCGUCCGUAGGACCCAGCGUCUCCUCUAUCUUUAUUUUCAGUCUGUUAUCUCAUAUAUUCGAGACAAACAAUAUUUUAUUUCUUUACGACGGUUGUGUGUAUUAUUCUUAGAAGUUCGUGAGUGUUGUGACACCAAUUCUUGGGUAGUGUUUUACGUUGGAAUUUCAGUAUCGCAUCUAGCAAGAUUUUUUAAGUCUUCCGCUAAAUUUAUUUAUUCCGCUUAAAUUUUAAUAUUGUUGAUAAUAGGUUGAAUAAGUAUUGUUGAAAAAUGGAAACAUAAGUAAGAGUUGGCUUGCCUAGCUCCUACUAGUAGGCGCCAUCACGAUUGCCAAUGGUGAAAAGUUUGUAUCGUGACAGUUUAAGUAACAAAAAAACCUGAAAAUCCGAAAAACCUGAUAAAAUCGAACCAAUCCAAACCGUUAUAGUUGAUUUAGUUUUGUUUUAAUAAAAUCGAACCAACCCGGUCCACAUAAACCUUGACUUUUAACUAUGGUUAAAGAUACUUAUUGAACUAAAUUUUAUCUAAAACUUAAGAAAAUCAAACGCUCAUUUUCUGAUUAUGCAACCUUAAUCUAAUAGACAAUAUUACAAAAAGGGAACCAAUAUUUGCCAUUAAUUUAUUGUAGUUAAAAAUAUUCCUUCUUAUAAAUACAACGAAGAAAACAAAAGAUUUAGGCUGAAAUAAAGUAUUAAAUGCUUUUCUAAAAGCGAUAUUUCCCCCAUCAAUUUCGCAAAAUUAUGGGGCAAGUGCACAAAUAAUCAUCUCAGAGAUACUAUUUAGAAAUUAGUCAAUAUUUAUUUUUUCCUGAAAUUUUAAAUAUAAAACUAAAAUUCAAGACGCACUGGCUAAUUUCUAAUAGUUGUCGUUAGAAGUGGCUAUCUCGUGUUAUUUCUACCAAAAUUACUAUGGGGUCGCUUAGUUAGAAUAAGAUUUAUACCGAUAUAAGUUAUAUUAGGAUAAGUUUUGCUGGGAUUUUUGUUUAUUCAUUGUUUGGUAUAUUGUAUUAAGAAUGACAAUUGCAUAAAUUAAAGAAGAAGGUAUAAGUUAUACCGGUAUUAAUUACCCCACCUUCUAUAAAGUAUAAGUUAUCCUAGUUAAAAUUGACACUGGACUAACUUAUACCUGAUUUAUUAACUAAAUCAAUAAUUAAAGUGACAUUAAAUUUUUAUACCACCCUUAUACCUUCUUAUAUCUCUAAACGAUCCCCAUGAGUACUACUCCCUCUGUUUCAUAUUAAAUGAAGUACUUUCCUUUUUAGUCUGUUCCAAAAUGAAUGACACAUUUCUAAAUUUGGAAAUAAUUCAAUUUUAAACUUUUUAUUUUACCCUUUUUGCUCUUAAUGAGAAGCUUUUAUAGCCACACAAAUAACAUGAUUCCACAAGUUUACCCCUUAUGCUUUUAGGACCAAAACUUUCAAAAAUCUUCCUUUAUUUUUUGUUAAACUCCGUACCGAGUAGUACCUUCUUUCAAAGAAAUUCAAUGUUUUCUGUACAAAAAGGAGGACUUUGACUGAGGAGACUCGUCAAUCGUUGAAUCAAGUCCAGGCUACGCGCCUUCACCAAAAAGUUCAACUACGGUUGAACUGGGGCUGGGGCUAUGCGCUAUCAAAAAUUACAUAAGUCAACUACGGUUGAACAUCAGCUCAGGCUACGCGCCUUCACCAAAAAGUUCAACUACGGUUGAACUGGGACUCAGGCUAUGCGCCUUCAAAAAUUACAUAAGUUCAACUAAGGUUGAACGUCAGCUCAGGCUACGCGCCUUCACCCAAAAAGAUCAACUGCGGUUGAACUGGGACUCAAGCUAUGCGCCUUUAAAAAUUACCAAAGCUCGACUGCGGUCGAACUGGGACUCGGGCUACGCGCCUUCAAAAGAUACAAAGGUUCAACUACGGUUGAGCGAUGGCUUGGGCUACGCGCCUUCACCCAAAAGUCCGACUAUGAGUUAGACUAGGAUUCAGGCCAAAAUCUUCCACCACUAUAAAGUACAAAAGAAUUCAACUAUGAGGCGAACCAGAACUCGGGCUAUACGCCUCCGUCACGAAAGCCGAAAACUCAACCAUAGACGAACCCCAUGUCGGGCUAAGUGCCCCGCCGUUAAGUAAGUACGACUAACUCAAACUAAAGUGUUGACCCCCGCAAAGUUCGGCCCAAGUCGAACUACAAGGCCGUGCUUUGCAUUAUCGCGGCCAGUAGUUCGACUAAGCCUAAACUGGGACUAAGUCUAUGUGCCGCCACUACCCAGACACGGCUACAACCCCCUCGCCCAAGUGGAGGAAGGUGAUGACCAAGGGCGUCUAUCUAUGGCCGAGGCGACCCACACGAAUUGCCCCUAAGGCGAAGGGUCGAUUGUGCAAUGGUCGAAAUCACUUAACCGGUUGAGACUAUUAACAUGCCCACUAGAAAAACUCUAAAGCAAAGCCCUUGCAAACAUGCACAAAAAAUAUAUAAUGUAUUCGACACAAAACAAACAGAAAAGAAGAAAACUCCAUAUAUUCAGAUUAUUUACACGGGGUUACCCCCAAUUACAGUGGCACAAGGCCUGCCAUGCACAAAAAAUAUAAAAUGUAUUCGACACAAAACAAUAGGAAAGAAGAAAUCGCAUGCAUUUCCAAUAUUUACACGGGGUUUCCCCCAAUUACAUCGGCCCAAGGCCAGCAAAGAAAAAACAAAGAAGAGAGAAAAUGAAAACUAAACAACAUUACAAAUUUUUCCACUUGUAUACUCGGUGCCCCCAGCGCCCCCCUCAGCAUUAUCAGCGCCCUCGGCACCAUCGUCACCCCCGGGCGUAAACGGGUCAAAACCACAGUCAAGGCGGGCUUCACGAGCCUAUUAGCAUGCCUCCUCAUAAGUGGCCUCGGACACGACGCUGGCUUCCCACAACCGCUUGUACACAUCGAGCUGGGCAGAGAUACUAUUUAGAAGGUCACGAGCAGGACCGAAAAAAGGGGCCAGUUCUCGGCCUCCAAGGUCGCGAUCUAGUCCGCCGUAACACCGGCGUCCCUCUCACAGACGGCAAUGCGCCCCUCCAACGAUCGUUCUUGAAAGGCAGUGGCAGCCCUUUCUAAUCCAUGCUCCCUUUCUUGGGCACGGUUGGUCGCUUGCAGUGCUUCAACCCUCGCCAAGGCGUCCUCUGCCUGCUUCCUUGAAGUGGCGGCCUCCGACUCUAGGGCAGCCACCUGCCCAGUAUAAGCCUCAGUGGCCUCUGCUGCCGCAGCCAGAUUUUAGUGCUCCCUCUCAUCUGCCCUUCUCUCAGCAUCCACCCCUUCGGUCGCUUGGCGGAGCUGCCCUUCAGGAGUGGUUACCCUGCUGAUGGUCUGUUGUAUAUGAACUAUGAAGCUCCCUCCGCGCCACCUCUUCUACCAGCUCCCGGUUUCAUGGGUCGUUCCUUAUGCGUUCACGCAAGCCGCGGCACCGGUCACGGUAGCGGCGGUACUUCUCCAACAGCCUCGCAACAACCGUCGUACGGACGUUAGCCCGCCUAAUGCUCUCCACCUCCAGUAAAAAUGUCUACAACAAACAGAACGACAGUUAAUACAAGAAGACAUGCUAAGAAAGAAAACAAACCAAAGUUUUAUACAUACCUUUAUACUUAGGGCGGCCACCUCGCCCAUCAAUCCGAAGUCUGAAAUACCCCUCAGGGACGUGCUCUCCGUUUCCAAGCACAGGACCCCGAACAGUGUCACCAGGUUCUCCUCCUCGAGCGGCAGGUUUAGGCAGUUAGGGAUCUCCAAAUAACGGUAAUCCCCCUCAUCCUGCACGACCGAGCGGGUAUAACCCUCCUGAGCAAGACAGACGUUCUUGGGAUCCAUAUCGGACUCCGAAUUGUCCCCCUCUCCUGAAAUGCCCCUUCCUUCUGCCACCCUGGAAGUUGAGGCUUCCGCUGCCCGAGACAUCGAAGCGCCCGCAUUCGCCACAACUUCGGCGCCUGCAUUCUCCACCAAAACAGUUGUCGAGGAACUACCUUCCCUCUCAACAACAGGAGCAGAAACUUGAAUCGCCGAAGCGAUUGUGUAACCUUGGCCCGUGCCAACUGGGGCAAUCCCCACUGAGUGCUCGCCCCCUGGGACAAGGUCUGCGGCGCCCUCCUCCUCCGCUGACGGCAAAGAGUCUAAACUUAUCACCAUUGGAAGAGCCGGGGUGAAUGCCACCCUGCGCCGAGCCAGCGGCAUCCCAUCUUCUUCUUCAUCUUCGUUGGGUGAUCGCUCCGCCAUGGAAUGCAUGACCCUUGGAGACUCCUUGACUCGGAGUACAGGACAUACCGGAGAGUGCGCAGUCAAGGAUUCCACCAAAGUUGCCCUUCGGACCGGGCGGGGCUUCGGCAUUGAAUCAUUUGGGCUGUCGCUCCUGGCCUGCGGAAAGCAACCUGAGGAGCCCUCUUGCGCCGUGGUCGUUCUGACCAACCAAUGAAGAAGAGUUAGACCAACGAAUCUAAGGACUACGAAAAGAGAACAAUAAACAGCAAAACAGAUUCUUACCAACAGCCGGCCUACGACCAUGAACCUCCCAGAAAGACGCCCACGUACGAAUCCCCGUUGUAACAGGGAGCACGGCCUUAAUCCACUCGCGGAUGCUAGAGAAUGGCGCCGGUGGCGCACCUCCCGCUAUGGCAUAAAAAGUUCAAAGUGCAAACAUAGAACAGAGCGUUUGACCAAAGGAACUCAAGGCCAGUGUAAAAGAAACUUACAUGCAUGGUUCCACUCCUCUGAGAAGUCAGUAGCACAGGCCACCAGAUGCCCAAUUCUGACCUCCAGAAAGACGCCCACGUACGAAUCCCCGUUGUAACAGGGAGCACGGCCUUAAUCCACUCGCGGAUGCUAGAGAAUGGCGCCGGUGGCGCACCUCCCGCUAUGGCAUAAAAAGUUCAAAGUGCAAACAUAGAACAGAGCGUUUGACCAAAGGAACUCAAGGCGAGCGUAAAAGGAACUUACAUGCAUGGUUCCACUCCUCUGAGAAGUCAGUAGCACCUCCCGCUAUGGCAUAAAAAGUUCAAAGUGCAAACAUAGAACAGAGCGUUUGACCAAAGGAACUCAAGGCCAGUGUAAAAGAAACUUACAUGCAUGGUUCCACUCCUCUGAGAAGUCAGUAGCACAGGCCACCAGAUGCCCAAUUCUGAUGUAGAAGAAAUACACGAAAGGACGGGUAGAGACAUCGUCACCGAGUUCCGCAGUCAAGCUGUCGAUCCCACGAGGGACCAACCGAAUCAUAGUGCCAUGUACCCUCUGAGGAGUGUACAGAAGUGUAAUUUCCCUUCGUGCCAACUCCGCAUAUUUAAUGAGCAUCACCAAUAAUUUGUAGCAGGAGGGGACGAGCUGACCAGGGCACACCCUGUAGUAGCGGCAAAAGUCCACCACCAGCAUGGGGAGAGGAAGCCUAAAUCUCAGCUUGAAAUGGUAGGCGUAAAAGACGCAGUAACCUCGGUGGUCGACGUGCACCCUGUCACCGCUCCUGGCCAGGAAGAUGUCAGCAAAGCGAGCAAUAUCACAUUGCUCCUCCAGCUGAGCAAUGCCGACUUCCCCCAUCAGUGCAGCCUCAUCCACUUGGUCUUCUCCCUCGGGGUCAGUAAAGUCGGUGGCCGGACCGAUUGGCAGGGAAAGAAUAUCAGUCACCAACGGUAAUCGAUCGACAUUCAGCGAAUCGAUGGUUCCCAUCGUAGAUGGGCCCUCAGCCGCCGCAACCACCACCGGAGCUAUGUAAGAAUGAGAAUUGCUCGCCAUUAUCAUUAUAACGAGAAAUAAAUUGCAAAAUUCACCGAAAAAACAAGAGAAUAAAAGAUCCGACAAAAAUGACGGAGAAUGAAUUAACGAUGAGUAAAAGACCAAAUAAUCUGAAGGCAAGAAGGGUUGUCUCUCUCAGAAUUCUACUUAGACAAAUAUCGGAAAAGUGAGAACUGAGCGAUACAACCUCUUAUUUAUAGGCAAAGCAUAAAUGACCCUCACGAAUCCCGAAGGUCACCAUUAACUACCUGACCAACCGCAAAAUGAUUCAGGCCUACAGUAACGCCCACCAUUAUGACAGAUAUCAUUGAACGGUCAUUCAACCGUCAAUCGGCACGUCCCCAUGGAAAGGUUAUAACGACCUCAAGAUACCACAGACACGCCCCAUGCGUCACCAUGCACAUGAUGUCCCCCUUAUACGCGGCAAGCCUGAUCGUACUCUCUCCGAGCACGUGAAAAAAUGUCUACCGCCAUCUCUAAAUUGAAAGGCUACGGCCAUCUCUAAAUUAAAAAUGGCUACGGCCAUCUCUAAUGUAAAAAUGGCUACAGCCAUCUCAAAAAUAAUAACGGCCACGGCCAUCUCCAGAUUAAAAAUGGUCACGGCCAUCUCCAAGAGAUAAAAGACUACGACCACCUCCAAAUUAACAAACGCUACGGCCUUCUCCGAAUGAUUGAAAAAGCUACGGCCAUCUCUAAUAGUAAAAACGGCUAAGGUUAUCGGCGGAAUCCGCUCAUCGAGUUCGUCCCGAGCCCGAUCUCAAUAAGCGGAGGGACUAUCUGUAUGGGUCAAAACUUGACCUCAUGAUAAUGAAUGAGAUCAACGCAUUUAGCCUACUUAUGACUAAUAAAUGGUAUGGCCAUCUUUCUCAAGAUUACCGAGUAGUUAUCUAAUUUGACAACUAAGGCCACGGCCUGGCCGUCCUCACGAGGGUGUCUCCUCUAUGUGGUCCCAACCCCUUUGCGCCAGCUGGCAGAUCUCCUAGCUAUAAAUACUAAGAGAAAGAACCCUAGAAGGGGGGCUGCAUCUUUUCUUCUUCACAUCUACUUCUAAAAGAAGAGAUAAUAGAUCAUUGUAAGGCUCUGAACCUCUCCAUGGAGAGGCAGACCAAACAAAUAUCAUUAAUAAAAGAUCUUCACUCUCUUCCCUUUAACUUAUAACUGUUGCCUUUUGCAUCUUACUCAUUUGAUCUUUGAAUUUAUUACGAUCUGCUAUGAUUGGCCCUCCGUUUAUUUUGAUUGUUUUGAGCUAAACAUUCAUCUUCAAACCUGCCUUAAUUUCCACGUUGAUCUGAUUCUUGAGUAGUUGAUGAUGGCAGCUUAUACUGCUGUAAUUUCUCUUCUUCAAACUCUACAGCAACUUCAGCAGAGAAAUUCAAAACUCAUUCAACGUCAAACUGCUAAAAUGCUUGAAUCUCUUCAUGCUACCGCUGAAUAUUUUCGAAAUAUUCUUGAAGAAACUAGCAUUAAGAGUAGGUUUGACCCUGAAAAGUCAAAUCUUUGGUGGAAAAAAUAAGAGUUGCUACUAGUGAUGCAGAAGAUGUUGUUGAGCUGAAGAUUUAGGAAAUCGUCAAAGACUCAAGCUGGAAAUUACGUAAAGUUUUACAACACGAGGAUCUGCAACCAGUUGUUGAAAAAAUGGAUACAACUAAGAAACAAGUUAUGGAGAUUGUUUCUAGUUUUAGCACAAGUGUUCAUGAUUCUUAUGAUGAAAUUGUUGAAAUACAUGGGGAUUCUCAAUCAGAUAUCAUUUUGAUAUUCUUGCUUGGAUUACAAUAUCUCAAGAAUAUCGAUGCUAGAAAUGUGUUGUUAGAAGCUUUAUAUUGCAUUUCAAAGCAAACAUUUAUUGUCAAUGCAAGAGAUUAUGAUAAGAUGGAUGACAAUGAGUUAGCCAACCUAGUGCAGAAAAACUUAAAGGGUGUCGAAGGUACGUUGUUGUUGAUGAUGAUAUUUGGAGUAUAAAUGUUUGGGAUAAUAUAAGAGGAAUAUUUUCUAAUUACAACAAUGAAGGAACAAUCACUUCAUUGAUAUGUCCAGCUUGACAAAACUUGAAGCAUUAAAGUGUAACAACUAUAAUGUUCCAUGCACUAUCAAGAUGUUUAUUUUUCCAACAUCACUUAUGAGGUUGUCUUUUGAUGGCUGCUUUAGUUUUCCUUGGGAAGACAUAUCAACUCUUGUCAUGUUGCCAAAUCUUGAGAGCUCAAACUUAAAGAUUAUGCAGUCAAAGGAGAAGCAUGGAGAUUGAGUGAUGAAGACAAGUUCAUCAGGGGACUGAAGCUUAUAUUGAAGGAACAUUUAACACUAUCGUCCCAAUGUAGAACUUCGCAGACCUUAUCCCUACCUGGGGUAGAGAGGUUGUUUCCAAAUAGAAACUCGGCAUUCUUCCCUCAAAGAAUUUCCCACCUUGCUCUUGGGAAGACUCGAACUCACAACCUCUCGAUUGAAAGUGAACGUUACUUACCAUCAUAGCAACCCCUCUUGUCUUUUUGGUACUUUAUCCAUGUAUAGCUUAUACGUGGACUAGUUAUUCCAUCUUGGUGGUGGGAUAAGAUAAUACACCAAUUGUUGUGUAAAAUAAUACAUUAUUCAUUAUCCUACAUUUGAAGUGACAACACAACAACUCAAUAUAAAUUCUUAUACCAUGAUUAAUUUCGUUACAUAUGUACCUCUCCUUAGAUGUCAAUGACUGAAAUCGAAAGCAAAACAGAAGCAGAUUCAAGUGAAAAAAGUACAACCCAAUAUAAUCUCACUUAGUGGGGUCUGGGGAGGGUAGUAUGUACGCAGACCNNNNNNNNNNNNNNNNNNNNNNNNNNNNNNNNNNNNNNNNNNNNNNNNNNNNNNNNNNNNNNNNNNNNNNNNNNNNNNNNNNNNNNNNNNNNNNNNNNNNNNNNNNNNNNNNNNNNNNNNNNNNNNNNNNNNNNNNNNNNNNNNNNNNNNNNNNNNNNNNNNNNNNNNNNNNNNNNNNNNNNNNNNNNNNNNNNNNNNNNNNNNNNNNNNNNNNNNNNNNNNNNNNNNNNNNNNNNNNNNNNNNNNNNNNNNNNNNNNNNNNNNNNNNNNNNNNNNNNNNNNNNNNNNNNNNNNNNNNNNNNNNNNNNNNNNNNNNNNNNNNNNNNNNNNNNNNNNNNNACGCAGACCUUACCCCUACCCUGGGGUAGAGAGGCUGUUUCCAAAUAGACCCCCGGCAUCCUUCCCUCCAAGAACUUCCCACCUUUGCUCUUGGGUAGACUCGAACUCACAAC
rnacentral:lncRNA from 1 species